rnacentral:tRNA from 1 species
GCCGGAAUAGCUCAGUCGGUAGAGCGGCGCAUUCGUAAUGCGUAGGUCGGAGGUUCGAUUCCUCUUUCCGGCACCA